UUUAUUUAGAUACUUCUAUGUACCAUACUCUGUGCUAAGUGCUGAAGACACAAUGAUGAACCCGGAUGAAGAGGAGGUUUCCUUGCUCUUAUAACUUACACUCUAGCCAAGCCAAGGAGGCAAGGAAAAAUAACCAUCCAGAUGGCCAUGCAUUCAUGGUUGAGAAAUAUACCUUGCCAACAAAUACCCUGCUGCCUGCGAGUUGUUUAUACUGAGAAUGUGUGAGGAAGUGUCACCCUCCGAAGGAAAGCUGCCAAGUGGAGACCAUGUGCACACUGGAAUCCAUUCAAAGGAUGCACGAUGUAGCAUCUGAGCCCUCAGACAAAGAGCCACAGGCCACCCCACUGGGGUAUGGUGCCUCACCUGCCAGAAAUCCACUCCCUUCUCUCCAGCACAGCCAGAGUUUUACAGGCUACUGGAACAUUAUGAAAAAAGAAAGUGGUGUGCCCUCAUUCCACACUUUUAACACCAUCAGAAUGUUGACUAACAUGUCAUAAACAGUGACAGCUGAACAUCAACAGUUAAAGAAAAAAUAAAAGACACCUGCACUUCAAAAAACCCUGUCUGAUAAUUGUUUUGGCUUGCAAGACACAGACCAGAGAAAGCAGAGUCUUGCCGGUGUUUUAUCCUUGAAGAUUGCAUGAGCCUCGUACAUCGUUAAGU